rnacentral:rRNA from 1 species
CAGCCGCCACGGUAAUACGUAGGGUGCAAGCGUUAAUCGGAAUUACUGGGCGUAAAGCGUGCGCAGGCGGUUAUAUAAGUCAGAUGUGAAAUCCCCGGGCUCAACUUGGGAACUGCAUUUGAGACUGUAUGGCUAGAGUGUGUCAGAGGGGAGUAGAAUUCCACGUGUAGCAGUGAAAUGCGUAGAUAUGUGGAGGAAUACCGAUGGCGAAGGCAGCCCCCUGGGAUAACACUGACGCUCAUGCACGAAAGCGUGGGGAGCAAACAGGAUUAGAUACCCGAGUAGUCCCUGUCUCUUAUAC